rnacentral:rRNA from 1 species
AAGGGGUGGGCAAGUUCUGGUGUCAGCCGCCGCGGUAAAACCAGCACCUCGAGUGGUCAGGAGGUUUAUUGGGCCUAAAGCAUCCGUAGCCGGUUGCAUAAGUUUCGGUUAAAUCUAUGCGCUUAACGUAUAGGCCGCGAAAAUACUGUGCAGCUAGGGAGUGGGAGAGGUACACGGUACUCGAUAGGAAGGGGUAAAAUCCUUUGAUCUAUUNNNNNNCACCUGUGGCGAAGGCGGUGUACCAGAACACGUUCGACGGUGAGGGAUGAAAGCUGGGGGAGCAAACCGGAUUAGAUACCCGGGUAGUCCCAGCUGUAAACGAUGCAGACUCGGUGAUGCAUUGGCUUGUGGCCAAUGCAGUGCCGCAGGGAAGCCGUUAAGUCUGCCGCCUGGGAAGUACGUACGCAAGUAUGAAACUUAAAGGAAUUGGCGGGGGAGCACCACAANNNNNNAAGCCUGCGGUUCAAUUGGAGUCAACGCCAGAAAUCUUACCUGGGGAGACAGNNNNNUGAAG